rnacentral:rRNA from 1 species
ACGAUCAGUAGCCGACCUGAGAGGGUGAUCGGCCACAUUGGAACUGAGACACGGUCCAAACUCCUACGGGAGGCAGCAGUGGGGAAUAUUGCACAAUGGGCGAAAGCCUGAUGCAGCAACGCCGCGUGAGUGAUGAAGGCCUUCGGGUCGUAAAACUCUGUCCUCAAGGAAGAUAAUGACGGUACUUGAGGAGGAAGCCCCGGCUAACUACGUGCCAGCAGCCGCGGUAAUACGUAGGGGGCUAGCGUUAGCCGGAUUUACUGGGCGUAAAGGGUGCGUAGGCGGUCUUUCAAGUCAGGAGUGAAAGGCUACGGCUCAACCGUAGUAAGCUCUUGAAACUGGGAGACUUGAGUGCAGGAGAGGAGAGUGGAAUUCCUAGUGUAGCGGUGAAAUGC